ACUGACAGCCAUGGUUACCGCGGCUGCUGGCACGGAGUUAGCCGGUGCUUCUUCUGUGAGUGAUGUCCUUCCUGCCGGCUAUUAACCCGCAGGCCUUCUUCCUCACUGAAAGUGCUUUACAACCCGAAGGCCUUCUUCACACACGCGGCAUGGCUGGAUCAGGGUUGCCCCCAUUGUCCAAUAUUCCCACUGCUGCCUCCCGUAGGAGUCUGGGCCGUGUCUCAGUCCCAGUGUGGCUGAUCAUCCUCUCAGACCAGCUACGGAUCGUCGCCUUGGUGAGCCGUUACCUCACCAACCAGCUAAUCCGACAUAGGCUCAUCCGAUAGCGCGAGGCCCGAAGGUCCCCCGCUUUCCCCCGUAGGGCGUAUGCGGUAUUAGCCUGGGUUUCCCCAGGUUAUCCCCCACUACCGGGCAGAUUCCUAUGCAUUACUCACCCGUCCGCCGCUCGCCACCAGGGAGCAAGCUCCCCGUGCUGCCGCUCGACUUGCAUGUGUUAGGCCUGCCGCCAGCGUUCAAU
rnacentral:rRNA from 1 species